UAAGUAUAAGCAAUUAUACCGCGAAACUGCGAAUGGCUCAUUAUAUAAGUUAUCGUCUAUUUGAUAGCACCUUACUACUUGGAUAACCGUGGUAAUUCUAGAGCUAAUACAUGCUAAAAAUCCCGACUUCGGAAGGGAUGUAUUUAUUAGAUUAAAAACCAAUGCCCUCCGGGGCUCUCUGGUGAUUCAUGAUAACUGCUCGAAUCGCACGGCCUUGCGCCGGCGAUGGUUCAUUCAAAUUUCUUCCCUAUCAACUUUCGAUGUUUGGAUCUGGGCCAAACAUGGUUGCAACGGGUAACGGAGGGUUAGGGCUCGACCCCGGAGAAGGAGCCUGAGAAACGGCUACUACAUCCAAGGAAGGCAGCAGGCGCGCAAAUUACCCAAUCCCGACACGGGGAGGUAGUGACAAUAAAUACUGAUACAGGGCUCUUUUGGGUCUUGUAAUUGGAAUGAGUACAAUUUAAAUCCCUUAACGAGGAACAAUUGGAGGGCAAGUCUGGUGCCAGCAGCCGCGGUAAUUCCAGCUCCAAUAGCGUAUAUUAAAGUUGUUGUGGUUAAAAAGCUCGUAGUUGAACCUUGGGCCUGGCUGGCCGGUCCGCCUCACCGCGUGUACUGGUCCGGCCGGGCCUUUCCCUCUGUGGAACCCCAUGCCCUUCACUGGGUGUGGCGGGGAAGCAGGACUUUUACUUUGAAAAAAUUAGAGUGCUCCAGGCAGGCCUAUGCUCGAAUACAUUAGCAUGGAAUAAUGAAAUAGGACGUGUGGUUCUAUUUUGUUGGUUUCUAGGACCGCCGUAAUGAUUAAUAGGGACAGUCGGGGGCAUCAGUAUUCAAUUGUCAGAGGUGAAAUUCUUGGAUUUAUUGAAGACUAACUACUGCGAAAGCAUUUGCCAAGGAUGUUUUCAUUAAUCAGGAACGAAAGUUA
rnacentral:rRNA from 1 species